AACGAACGCUGGCGGCAGGCCUAACACAAGCAAGUCGAGCGAGGACUUCGGUCCUAGCGGCGGACGGGUGAGUAGCGCGUGGGAACGUGCCCCUUGGUACGGAAUAGCCCCGGGAAACUGGGAGUAAUACCGUAUGAGCUCUACGGAGGAAAGAUUUAUCGCCAAGGGAUCGGCCCGCGUUGGAUUAGGUAGUUGGGGGGGUAAUGGCCUACCAAGCCGACGAUCCAUAGCUGGUUUGAGAGGAUGAUCAGCCACACUGGGACUGAGACACGGCCCAGACUCCUACGGGAGGCAGCAGUGGGGAAUCUUAGACAAUGGGCGCAAGCCUGAUCUAGCCAUGCCGCGUGAGCGAUGAAGGCCUUAGGGUUGUAAAGCUCUUUCAGCUGGGAAGAUAAUGACUGUACCAGCAGAAGAAGCCCCGGCUAACUCCGUGCCAGCCGCCGCCGUAA
rnacentral:rRNA from 1 species